rnacentral:lncRNA from 1 species
GAACAGGAAAGAAAGUCUACACUUGUGCAACCCUUAUGGCCCCAAAGAUACUUUGAUAUGGAAUGAAGAUGUUAUGCCAGUAAGUUUUGGUGUCGACUCCUCUUAUGAAUCAGAAGCAGUGGCAAACACAGUGUGCUGUGCCUCUAUUGAGUACGUACCAUCCCUGUUCCUUGCAGCUAGAUGGAGAACAGCAGUUCAGCUUUUUGCCUCAUGGAUGGACAAAGAAAGCCUUGUUCUUGGUCAUGCUGAUGUUUCUUUUCCACUUGGCACUGGCUUUCCAAAACACAUCACAUGCUGCGGGCAGCCAGCCAGCCUACCUGUCUGAGAAAAACAGACCUGAGUCUCCCUGCCCCACCCUGACCUCUUGGGAUGAUAACCCGCUGGCAAGAAACAUCAGCAAUAACUGUUUGGAAAACAGAUGCCUGACAACUUCUCCAUGCAACUGACUAUCCCUGCUGCCUCUCAUCCCAACAUGGCCCUCAGUGGCCAUCAAGAUGCUCCCCUUGCUCAUGACCCACUGCAGUGUCCUUUCAUACUUCUGGAAAACUGGUG